GGCCCAUUCGUCUAGUGGCCUAGGACGUCGGCCUCUCAAGCCGGAAACACGGGUUCGAUCCCCGUAUGGGCCA
rnacentral:tRNA from 1 species